UACGGGGGGAGCAAGCGUUGUUCGGAUUUACUGGGCGUAAAGGGCGCGUAGGCGGCCACCGCAAGUCGGUUGUGAAAUCUCCGGGCUUAACCCGGAAAGGUCAAUCGAUACUGCGGGGCUAGAGUGCAGAAGGGGCAACUGGAAUUCUCGGUGUAGCGGUGAAAUGCGUAGAUAUCAGGAGGAACACCAAUUGCGAAGGCAGCUCGCUGGGACGUUACUGACGCUGAGACGCGAAAGCGUGGGGAGCAAACAGG
rnacentral:rRNA from 1 species